UCUUCUUUCUCCGUUGCUUAGCUGUUGGUUUGCGUACGUCUCUUUUCUCCGUCCAUGUUCUCCUCAGAUCUGGAGCGCCAUGCGCGUCCUCGUCGGCUGCUCGCGACGGAUCCGGGCAGAUCGGGCGGCGAUCUAUCGUUCGAGUAUGGCUUCGACCGUCGCCGUCGACCGUUCGGUUUCGAGGCGCGGCUUGUCCAUGCUCGUCGCGUAGACGUCUUCGCCGUCCAUCUGGGCCUCUGCGACGUGGUAGGAUCGAUGUUAGCGGCUGGAGGUCGAUUUCCUCGCUAAUCGAUGAGUUCUGAGUUGUUUUUCCGCCGGCGGAGUUUCCCAUGGGAUCGGCGUUGACCGGUGAACCUCGAGUCUUCUUGCGCCUCCUGGCCGCGGAAGCGAUGGCGCCGAAGGACUCUUUUGCUGUCUCGCUCUUGUGUGAUGUAAGCGGCCGAUCUGGUUGGGCCAUCUCUCGAUUCGCGAGUCAAUUUCUCGGCAAAGUAGAAGGGCUGGAUUGAUGUCUAUUGACAGCUAAAGGGGUUUGUUGAGCAUGUUCUGCUGUUACUUAGUGAAGCUAUGAAACAUAGCUGUAUAUAUCAUGUUGUGUGGGCGUGUCUUGAAAGAUAGAAAUGGUGUUGUUGAGGGGAGAAAAUUCGGGGGAGGUAACCGUGUUAGAUGUGAGGGGGAGAAAAAAGAAGAGCGGAUGUGUUCGACCUUUGCCAUGACAGGUGCGCUUGCAUGGCAGGUCACCGAAACCAAAUAAAAGUGCUUCCUUUUUGGUGUUUGAAGGGGGAGAUGGCACGGGGGUUCUUGUGUCUUUUGCCCGGCUCUCCCCCUUCCCGCGUGCCUCGUGUCUUGGCUCCUUCUUUUUCCUUUUUCGUCUCCGUUUGCUCGUUCUUCGUAUACCUUGCAUACGCCUGUCGGAAAUGAUCCUAUGCAAAUUGCACCGAGUACGAACACAUCGGUAGAAUGCAGGGAAAUGAAAGCGGUGAUGCUAGCUUAGAGAAGGAGGUACGACUUAAACUAGUAAUUCUAGUUGGUCGUGGUACCCCUUGUUCAAUGAUGAUAGCUACCCCAAUGCAGAAAAGUCCUGGACCGUAGUCAAAUUCCACCAGAAGGUAUACCUUGAAUUUGCGUCUUUCAUUGUGCUUAAUCUUGCCCUUUGGCGGCAGCUUUUGCUAUAUGCGAAUUCUAAUGGCGUGCGAAUUAUUUACCUGGCUGAUGAGUUGAUUCCUUCCAAAGAAAAAUCUACUCGCUUGCGGCCAUUGGUCUUCUUAAGCAUAUUUCAUGAUGGCAGUAUGGAUUCUUAAGUGAUUGAUUAAAUGCACUGGUGACAUAUCAAGAUAUCAUAGACCUAAUGUUUAUGCUAGGUUUGCAUUUCUAGUGACCCUUACAAACAUCGUGUUAUCCUCACUCAUGCUCAAGAAGAUAACGUAACAACGAUACUCACACCUUCAUGGUGGAUGCUUCCCCAAGAAGUUGGAAGUCCAUCUGAACAGAUGUAUAGGUUAUAAUUGGAAAUUAUUGACUUUAUAUAGAAGCAGCUCCUACGCCUUGUCUGUGCCUGGAACAAAAGUUACUAUUUUCUUUGUGUUUUAUCGCUCUUGGUUAAUUUGCGCACGAUUUUGUAUUCUAUUCUCUCUUUCUUGUUCAGAACUGAUAGUACAUCAAGACAAUUCCUGAUUUGGAAUGUCGAAGCAUUUGGAAGUUGAUGCCAGGUUAAAGAUUUUGUAUAUAUGAGCUAUAUGUUGUAGAGAUUAUGUUCUGUUAAGCGUGGUUCGCUGCCCUGCUCGUUGCAAAGCUGCUUCAGACUCUUCAAUUCGCUGGAUCAAUGAAACCCUCAAAAGUCGCUUUCCAGAUCGACCUGAUUGUUUUGACUCAAAAGUGGUGUGUUGCUUUGGGAUGCCAAAUCGAAGGAUGUCUUUGAAGCUCGCUUGAACUUGUCUGAUGAGCAUGAAAGUCGAUUUUCCACGUGUGCUGAGCCUCUG